UACUAUCGCAGAAAUUCCACUGUUGUA
rnacentral:piRNA from 1 species